rnacentral:misc_RNA from 1 species
GAUGAAGAACGUAGCGAAAUGCGAUACGUAAUGUGAAUUGCAGAAUUCAGUGAAUCAUCGAAUCUUUGAACGCAUAUUGCGCUCUCUGGUAUUCCGGAGAGCAUGCUUGUUUGAGUAUCAGUAAACACCUCAACUCCCUUUUCUUUUUUGAAAUGGGAGCUGGACUUGAGUGAUCCCAACACUUUUCUCACUGGAAAGUGGCGGGUCACUUGAAAUGCAGGUGCAGCUGGACUUUUCUCUGAGCUAUAAGCAUAUCUAUUUAGUCUGCCUAAAAAACAGAUUAUUACCUUUGCUGCAGCUAACAUAAAGGAGAUGAGUUCUUGUGCUGACUGAUGCAGGAUUCACAGAGACAGCUUUGCGGCUGACUUUGUAAACUCGAUCUCAAAUCAAGUAAGACUACCCGCUGAAUUUAAGCAUAUCAAUAAGCGGAGGA